UACGUUGCAAUUUUUUGUUCAUGGUGCGCAAAUCGUUGUCAAACCAUUCUGCACUCAUUCUUUCCAAAAAGCCUUUCACGCUAGAAGAGCUUGAAUGACGUUCUCUUAAUAGUUGUUCAAUUGUAUUAUUUUUCGCAACCAAAUCUUCAACAAUAGUCGAAUUGGCCUCUUCGAGCAUUUGAACUUUCUCUUGCAAUUCAUAGUUGCCUUUCUUCAACGAGUUGAUUCGUUCCAACAGUUCUAUCAUUUCGCUUCCGGACAUGAUGCAAGAAGAAUGAACACUUUCUUGAUCAGAACACGCCAGAGAAACUUUAUCACUUUCUUUGUUGCAGCCACUGAGAAAACUCCAAGAAGAGCUACUUCCGGAUUCACCUUUCAAAUUGGAAAACAGUUCAUUCAUAUCAUCAGCUCUGCUGCCUCCAACAUCUUUUAACAAUUCAACAAUUUUUUCCUGCAACAAAUCAGCUCGCUUCGUUUCCGUACGAAGUUUCCCUCAGGAUAGCUGGCAUUUGUUUGUAACAAUUUUAUCCGGUAGAGCGAAUGAUUAGAGGUGUUGGGAACGCAAUGUUCUCAGCCUAUUCUCAAACUUCGAAUGGGUAAGCAAGGCGUUUUGCUUUGAUUUUACGAUGAAAUCGCCCAAUUAGAAGAAUGUAUAAAUGCCUAGUGGGCCAAUUUUGGUAAGCAGAACUGGCGAUGUGGAAUGAACCAAAAGUCAGGUUAAGGUGCCAGACAUUGGCGCUCAUGAAAUACCAGAAAAGGUGUUGGUCGAUAUAGACAGCAGGACGGUGGCCAUGGAAGUUGGAAUCCGCCAAGGAGUGUGUAACAACUCACCUGCCGAAUCGACUAGCCCUGAAAAUGGAUAGCGUUUGAGCUCCAGGCCCAUACCUGACCGUCUCAAUUACGCACCCUUUUUUCGGAAAAGGUGUAAUGCACGUUGAGACGGGUAGGAAGGUCGCGACAGUGUUGCUUUGAAGAGUUUUGAGCGUGAGCUCGCUCGGAGCCGCUGUCGGUGCAGAUCUUGGUGGUAGUAGCAAAUAUUCAAGUGAGAACCUUGAAGGCUGAAGUGGAGCAAGGUUCCAUGUGAACAGCAGUUGGACAUGGGUCAGUCGAUCCUAAGAAAACGGCGAAAGCUUUUUCGAAUUUGCGACAUGAAUUGUAAGACUGUGAAUAAUUGUGUGCGUGUGUUUGCCAAUUAUUAAUUGUUGUGCGCAGUUGUCGUAUGUUUUCGAAAGGGAAUCCGGUUGAUAUUCCGGAACCGAGUAACGGAGACAAAGAGUAGCGCUUUAAUCUCUCUCUCUCUGUGGGGUUGGCGUUCAACUCAAUCGCGCGGUAACGCAAGCGAACUCGGAAAAUGACCGUCGUGAGUUUCGAAAAGAGUUUUCUUUUCUUUUUAAGGGACGCAUUCCCUGGAACCGGGUUGUCCGGAGAUAGGGAUUUUGGUAUCCAUAAAACGCCGACUUUUUCACGGUGUUCGGAGCGCUCUCGUCGGUACGUGAAAAUCCGAGCGACGCCUGGUAAAUCUCGUACUUGGUCGUACUGAUAUCCGCAGCAGGUCUCCAAGGUGAAUAGCCUCUGGCCGAUAGAAUAAUGUAGGUAAGGGAAGUCGGCAAAACGGAUCCGUAACUUCGGAACAAGGAUUGGCUCUAAGGGCUGGGCCGAUCGGGCUGAGGUUUCAAGCGUGCAGUGUAUGCUUGGCUUAGUUGUGUUGAGGACUUGUUCACUUGCCACCGUUUGUUCGGUUGGUCGAGUGUAUUCGAGUCUGAAGCAGAGCUGGCCGUCAGACCGGCACGUGUAGAACCUGAGCUGCGCGGCUGUCCGUUUUCGUGUACAGACCGUUUCGGUCGGCAUUCAACAGCCAACUUAGAACUGGCACGGACACAAGAAGCAUUGCGAUGGCCGAUGAUCGGUGAUGACGCAAUGUGAUUUCUGCCCAGUGCUCUGAAUGUCAAAGUGAAGAAAUUCAAUCAAGCGCGGGUAAACGGCGGGAGUAACUAUGACUCUCUUAAGGUAGCCAAAUGCCUCGUCAUCUAAUUAGUGACGCGUAUGAAUGGAUCAACAAGAUUCCUUCUGUCCCUAUCUACUAUCUAGCGAAACCACAGCCAAGGGAACGGGCUUGGCAAAAUCAGCGGGGAAAGAAGACCCUGUUGAGCUUGACUCUAGUCUGACUCUGUGAAGAGACAUGAAAGGUGUAGCAUAGGUGGGAGAUUGUCAAUUUGCCAUCGUUCGCGCGAUGGUCCCGGUGAUCGCCAAUGAAAUACCACUACUUUGAUCGUUUCUUUACUUAUUCGGUAAAGCGAAAAAAUUGUGGCCAAUUUGGCGGUGUUUAUGUCGCUGUUGGUCAUUGUUUUCAUGUUGGAUUGAAGCUUUGUUUUGAGCCGUCGCUUUGUGUCUUCAUUUGACGCAUUGUUGUGCUGGGUUAGUAGCCCAGUGUGUGAUGUUGUCAGAAUGGAUGAUCGGCGAUAGGUUUGAAGUGAUUCGCUCCGGAAACAGUGUCAGACGGGGAGUUUGACUGGGGCGGUACAUCUGUAAAACGAUAACGCAGGUGUCCUAAGGUAAGCUCAGCGAGGACAGAAACCUCGCCUAGAGUAAACGGGCACAAGCUUACUUGAUUUUGAUUUUCAGUAUGAAUAGAAACCGCGAAAGCGUGGCCUAUCGAUCCUUUUGAUUGUGUAGAUUUCAUGCAAGAGGUGUCAGAAAAGUUACCACAGGGAUAACUGGCUUGUGGCAGCCAAGCGUCCAUAGCGACGUUGCUUUUUGAUCCUUCGAUGUCGGCUCUUCCUAUCAUUGCGAAGCAGAAUUCGCCAAGCGUUGGAUUGUUCACCCACCAAUAGGGAACGUGAGCUGGGAUUAGACCGUCGUGAGACAGGUUAGUUUUACCCUACUGAUGACAAGUCGUUGCGAUAGUAAUCCUGCUCAGUACGAGAGGAACCGCGGGAUCAGACAUUUGGUUCAUGCGCUCGGCUGAAAGGCCGGUGGCGCGAAGCUAGCAUCUGCAAGAUUAUGACUGAACGCCUCUAAGUCAGAAUCUUUUCUAGUCAUUGGCAACGAUAAGUUGCGUCCAGACUCGAUGCGAGGAAACGAUUAGGCUUUGUUGCUAUACAACGAAGCCAUUAUCAGACCACGGUAGCAGGCAGUAUGGGAUUGUUACGAAAAAGCAAUUUUUUGAAGUCAGUUGAAUUCAAUGAAACUGCUAACAAUUUCACUGCGAAUGACUCCAUU
rnacentral:rRNA from 1 species